UUGUGGAGGAGGACGCCGAAGGUGGGGCUGAUGACUGGGGUGAAGUCGUAACAAGGUAGCCGUACCGGAAGGUGCGGCUGGAUCACCUCCUAACCAGGGAGACAAAAAAAAUGAUUAUGAUGUCUGAUUAAAUUAUUAGGCCGUAAUCCUGUCACCUUAGGUCGAUCGGUACCUCAGAUUAAGAACGAUCAAAUGAUUAAUCAUAUGUGGUUUCUAAUUUCAGUUCCUAAACUUGUCUAGGUCACACCCAACAAACUUUCUCCUGGGCUAUUAGCUCAGGCGGUUAGAGCGCACCCCUGAUAAGGGUGAGGUCCCUGGUUCAAGUCCAGGAUGGCCCAUUCGUUGUUGGGGGUAUAGCUCAGUUGGUAGAGCGCCUGCUUUGCAAGCAGGAUGUCAGCGGUUCGAGUCCGCUUACCUCCACUGAUCAACUACCUGAUAACUCAAUUUUGGAGAUUGUCAUUUGGCUAAUGUGACUUAGAUGUUGUUCAUCUGAAUGAACCUAGCUUCCUAUCACCCCUUGAAUAUAUUUCUUGGCUGAUAAGACGCUGGGCUCACUGCUAUACGAAAGAGUAACAGUUUGAUUCAGCAGAACCUUGACAACUGCAUAGGAAAUCUAGAAAAAAUAAAGCAUCUCAUAGAUGCAUAGAAAACUAUUUUAAAUAUGUUUUUUAUGUUCAAUUCUUGAGUUAGAGCAUAAUUUCUAUAACUUACUAAAUGAGCAAAAAAUUGUUCAUUUACUAAUUAAAUUUAGGAAGUAAAUAGGAAUAAAGGUCAAGCUACAA
rnacentral:misc_RNA from 1 species